rnacentral:rRNA from 1 species
GACGAACGCUGGCGGCAGGCUUAACACAUGCAAGUCGAACGGAAAGGCCCUUCUUGUGUGGGGUUCUCGAGUGGCGAACGGGUGAGUAACACGUAAGUAACCUGCCCAUGACAUUGGGGGAGCUUCAGGGAACUGGGGCGAAUACCUGCUACGAGCUCCUGCUGCGUGGUGUGGGUUGGAAAGUAUCGGCGGGGGGGGUUGGAUUCGUGGUGUAUCUGCUUGUGGAGGUGGUGGGGGAUUACCAAGGCUUUGCCGGGUAGCAGGCGUGAGAGGGGGACCGGCAAACGUGGGACUGAGAUACGGCACAGACUCCUACGGGAGGCAGCAGUGGGGACUCUUGCACAAUGGGCGGAAGCCUGAUGCAGGAUCGCCGCGUGCGGGAUGACGGCCUUCGGGUUGUAAACAGCUUUCGCGUGUGACGAAGCGUGAGUGACGGUACUGGGUAAAGAAGCACCGGCUAACUACGUG